UACGAAGGGUGCGAGCGUUGUUCGGAAUUACUGGGCGUAAAGGGUUUGUAGGCUGAAAUGUAAGUCAAGUGUGAAAUCCCCCGAGCUUAACUUGGGACGUGCAUUUUGAAAACUGUGUUUUCUUUGAGUAUCGUAGAGGGUGGUGGAAUUGCAGGUGUAGGAGUGACAUCCGUAGAGAUCUGCAGGAACAUCGGAGGCGAAGGCGACCACCCUGGCCGAUAACUGACGCUGAGGAAACGAAAAGCGUGGGGGAGCAAACAGG
rnacentral:rRNA from 1 species